UACUGUUUUAAUAAGUGUUUCAAGAUACAAACUGGGCAAAUAAGAAGCAACAACAAAUUCCAAGAUGUUGAUUUGGGCUUAGAGGCAGAGUAUUCUGAUAGGCAUGAGAGAUGACUUGGGCUUUGCAGACCAGGUCAUAGGUAGGUGAAGCAAGUAUUGCAACCCAAACUGGGCUAGAAUGUGUGGCCAGGGGGUGAAAGUCUACUGGAGUCUCCAAAGGGGAUGACAGAGCUCAGACAAGAAUGGAAAUCCCCACCUGCCAAGGAGACUCCACAGGCUCCAGUCUUGGGCCCAGGGGGUCGACAGGGGUCACAGGAGGCCUGGGUCUUCUUAGAGCUUUCCAUGUGGGGCUCUAACACAGCAUGCAUGUCUGUGUGGAUACAGGGAUGGGGGUCAGUUUCCUUCUUGAAGACAUUGAAGCUCAUGUAGUCGAUGCUUUUGUUCAGAGGCCCAGGCUUGGGAACAAAAGAAACAGCCACUCCAUUUUUUAUCCAGGGUUUAAAGGCUGAAGAACGCUUAGGUUCUGGGUUCUGUCUUCUAUUUUUCACCUCUGGGACUUCAAACCACAGAGGUCCAUCAAAUCGUCUAGUCCCCUUCUUGCACUGGCUGAGAGCUCUCAGCACUGUCUCCUUGGCACAAGGGUCUGGAAGCUCCUCUGGAUGCUCUGCAAUGCGUGCUCCCUGUUCUAGAGAAGCCAGGGGACUACCUCUGCCCUCAGGAGGGGCAAUCUUGACUGUCACCGGGCUGCAGGUCCACCCAGGGUUCCGUACACUCCAAAUCCAUCGUUUCAUAUAGGUGUCCCAGGCACUGGAGAGAUCCAGGCCCAGGGUGACACCUGUGGGAGGUCUGAUGGCAGAGCGCCUCCAGGUUCCCACCACUCUCUGGGGCGUGCGGAGGUGAGCAGGAACGUUGGGUCCAUGGCUGUGCGGAACCCACUCAGGCCAAGGCCUAGACCUUCGGUGCCUGGGGGCAGACAGCGAUCUCUGAGGUGAGCCCAGGGAGCUGCCCAUGUUCACAGCUUCCGGGAACCAAGGACCUGCCACGGGCAGGACCGACCGUUGGCUGUGAGCACGAGCCUGAGAGAGAAUUCUGGGAACCCAAACAUAUUCUGCUGCUUCAAGACAUGAGGAACACAGUUCCCACGGGCCUCUCCUUAAGCUGAAGUGUCUCCUUACAUCUUUUGUACAUUCAUAAAUUUUGGAUACAGCUCUUUGUCAAGGUUUAUGGUUUUAGUAAUCAUAAAACCAUUCCAAAUGCUGGCCAAGUGCAGCUAAUUUCGGUGGUGGAAUUUCUGAGAAUGACAGCCAUUGUCUAAGCAUUCAUCAAAGCAUGUUACAGGGAACCUGGAUUCAAUUCCUAGCACCCACAUGGAGGUUCAUGAACACCUAUAACUCCAGUUCCAAGAGAUCCAAUAUUCUUUUCUGGCCUCUGAAACAUUCACACAAGAUCAAAUGCCCUGUACAGCAUGAAUGCAGACCUUAAGAGGAAGUGGGAUCAGAAACAAUGAAGAGUUCAAUAUCAAAGGUCACAAGAGGUUCUGGGAAAUGGAAUUCCAGGAUUAUCAGUGUGUGGUGUUUCAGAACAGUCACAUACGUCUACAACUUGCUGUGCAAUCUCAGCUUUUUAAAUGACAUUGACAUUGUUUUCUGAUUCAGAAUUCCAGACAAUCUC
rnacentral:lncRNA from 1 species